CACUCUUUAAAUGAAGGGUAAACAAAGGUGCUUCCUCAAAGUGAAUUACUCUGCGUAAACACAUAUAAGUCUGCGUCCUUUGCUUUUGAUCCAAGGACUUGGUCCCAUGGAGUUGAAAGCAUUUCUUGUCAGAUCCGGCCCAAUCUCAAAGUUGGAGGCAACAGCGUGAAAGGUGUGACCAGACGUCCUGUACAGUGUGGAGCUGUCCCCUGCUUGGAGGUGACUGUCAGUUCCACGCGGAGAGGAGAAGGGCUGCUCUGUGGAGAGGAAGCUGCAGAUGGGGGUUCUGGUGCUGGAUUGGGAAGAGAGCCUCCGAGCACGUCUGUCUCCGGGAACAUUUCUGGGGAACGGUGCGCUCGGCUCCAUGCCUCUUCUCAGGUCCCAACACGGCAGUGCAGCAGCCCCGGGAAUCCAUCACACAACUGAAAGCCAAGCAUGAGAGUUUGCCCUGGCACGAGUCAACCUCAAUCAGCCCAGAGUCCCCAGCUGCUUCACAUGGAAUCUGUAUGCACAGGAGAUUGGUUCCAGGACCCCAGCAAAUACCACAACCUGCAGAUGCUCAAGAUGACAUUGUGUGUGUGGAUGAUCCGCUCACAGCCUCCCACAGACUUUACAUCA